GUGUGUGGGAAUUGCCCAUGGUGCUUGGAGAAGACUUGCUGAUUAAUGGGAUGAGUGCUCUUCUGCUGAUUACAUUUAUGGCUGCCUCCAGGGAACAUGUCCUAAGCCCUGGUUUUUCUGGCUUCUUGUUUCCCUGCCUCUUCCUGGCUGUCAUGUUGCAGACACAGUCUGUGAAUAGUGUCCUGACCAAGAACCUGGAGCACAUUCUUCCUGUUUCCUCCUCCAUGAACUGGUCAUGAGGAAGAAUUGUUGACUGUGUUACAACCUGCUCCAGAAGGAGAAGGGAUUGUCAUUGGAGGAGUUUGAUAUACACCUGCAGCUGUGCAUCAUCUCCAGCAGCAUGACUUUUGUGGCUUUCUGACCAACCAUAACCCAUUAAGCAUUGUGUGCCAGGAAAAGCUCUGCAGGGAACACAUCUUGUUCCCCAGCACCUCCUGUAAAAUGUCUAGUAUCCUACAAAUGAAUCAAGGACUCGGGAGGCAACUCCAUUCAAAUUUAAAAGUGCAUUCCCUUCAACUCCUGAAUUUGACCUGAAAAAUUCAACCAAAUUCCUGGUCCUGGUUCUCUGCAGAGACUUGGUGAGACGUUCCAGUUCAGGCCACUUUCUGCCCACAUCUGUUCCCCUGCAUCUGACCCUAUUGAUGCUGGUGCACUGGGCCACCACUGUGGGCCAGUUUGGACGCCCAGUGCAUGACAACAUCUGAUCUUAUGCCGCAUGGAAACAGAAGCAGGAUGGGAAUGACUGUUUCAGCAUGGCUGGAGAAGGUCUGUCCUCCUGCUGAAGGGACCAGACUCCUACUUCCUGACUGACCUAUGUUGCCAUCAGUUUUGGACAACAACGAGGACCAAAGUCCUCAUUUCAUACCCUCUUUUCCCUGCACUCCAUCACCAGUCUAUCAAGUCAUCCUUUACCUGAGUCCAAACUUCUGGCAAAGGCUCUGAGAUCCACAAAUGAGACCACCAAGCUGCCUAUUUUGUAGAAGAUGAAGGUUGAGGCUGAUGCUGGGAACAUGACCCCGCUGUGGAGUUCAGGGAGUCACAGACCUGGGACACCAAAUCCCCCUGGAGCCAUGUCCAGUCUCCCUUCCUGCUGCCUGCAGCAGUGAUGGAUCUCCAAGAGGUCAGUGAAUUGUACUGAGUCCAAGCACCUUCUAUUUAUUUCUCUGCCUUAGAUACUGCAUUUUCCUGAGCUGACAAUUGCCUAGUUCUGCCCCAGCAAACCUCCUUUUAUUUCUGUAGAGGCUUGCUGUAUAUUUUCAUUUUGCAAAUUAAUAUUAUUUAUUCCUGUCCUUAGUACUGAGCACAUUCAACUAUUUGAAACUUCCCCUGUACCAUUUGGUUGGCAGUGUGUCAGGUUGUCUUUAUCUUAUCAGGAUAGUAACUUCUCUCUGCUAUGAUGUGAUGUGUCCAUACAUAUAUAUCAGUGCGUUCAACUUGCCUGUUUCCCUUCUCACCAAUUUAAUUCUAACCUUACAGGUUAGGGCUGUUGCACAAACAACCUGGCCCUUCCGCUGUCUUUUAUGGUAAGACAGAGCAAUACAUGUCCAGGUUUUCCUAACAGAAGCCUGAGGAUAUUGGAUGUGCUUCACUACCAUGGUAAUAGUGAUGAUUUUUUAUGAUCUGCCCCAUUGUUCCCCUUCACUUGGAAAGUGAUCCUGAAAUGUACAGUUACACCAAACAUUGUCCUGACUCAAUCCAUGCAUGUCCUGAGAGCUGUUCAGGUUCUCAGGCGCCUGAUAUUGGUUUGGUGCAUCUAGCACCAUCCAUGCCCUGCUGCCAUGGGACACACUGUCCUAUGUCCAACAUACCCUGUUACCAUGUAAGUUCUUGGGUUUUUAACUUUUUUUCUUUUUAUAAACUCCCAUGUCACAUUUAGUAGUAGCACUGGAAAAUGCUGAUAUUUCUUAGGAUGAGAACAUUGCCAUCUGGUUUGGGAAGGCAGGUGUAUCUUCUCAGGAAAGAUGCUGAUAGCACCCUUAGACUAAAGGGACUGCAUGUAAAAGAAAGCAAAAACAUCCUGGGCUGAUUCAUCAAUGCCUGGCGGAAAUGUUCUCCUGUAAAUCCAGGAUCUCAGCAGGUUGGUGGAAGGGGAUGCAGGGUCUCCAGACCAGCCUCCCACCAGCAACAGGACAGUCUCUAGCACUGGCUUGGCAUGGCUAUGGCUUUGCCUAGAUAAACAGUGGAAAAUCCUAUCCUGCUCCUCUCUGUGGACUUGUCCCAGUUUCUCAAUGCCCUGCCUGGACCUACUGGAGCCACUGUCCCAGUAUGAAGCCACUGCCCUGAUAUCAUUAGUUUGGCUCUGUGCUCCUGCCCCAGGAGUGGCUGCUGCACUUCAUGGCAGGGCAAGGUGGAUGUGCCCAGACUUCCAUCCAGUGCCUGGGCUGGGCAGAGCUCAGAGGAGACAACCAGGCACCAGCCCUCGUAUAUCCCUGUGGCAGCCUCCCCACAGCUGCCACUUGUGUGAGCAGAAAUGAUUUAUGUUGAGUUUUCAUUUUGUUGUUUAGUAAAUCAGAAUUUGGAAAUCAGCAUGGUUUCUUGUGCGAGCCUCACUAAUGGCCGAGGUUAUCACAACAGCUAUAAAUCCCCCUCGAUUCUGGAUGGGAAAUUUCAUUAUUUCUCCUCUCUCCUCCCCUCCCUGGGCCAUGAGACCUGGCAGAGCCAUGGAAGAGAGGAGUUGAUUUAAUCCAGCUCUGGCUAAAACCAUCAACCAUGAAUCAUCAUCUGCUGGAGACCCUUUCUCUCACUGAGCCUUGACACCCAGGGAAGCUGUGCUGGCUGGUCUGUGAGCAGGAACUGCUUCCAAGGGCAGAGCACAGAGUGAGGCAAGGCACCUCCAGCCCUGACAAGGCCAGUUGCCAUGUAAGACAAGUGGUAGGAGUUAUGCUCAUCUACUUGUUUUGUCCCCUGCUGCUUCUCUCUGGGCACACACAAUGAUCAAGACAGUGUGGACAAUGAUGCUGGGAUACCACCAUGAACAGAUCCUCUAGGACUGGAAAAGGCUGUAAAAGGCCUUCAGCCAAUUCAGACAUGAGUAAAAACACUCAUUAAAAAAGACAGACCUAAAGGGAAUUCCUCUUCUCUCUCCUACUGCCCUCUCAUCUUUCUCUGUCUCCUGGGAGGGAUGUGUUUCCUCAGCACCCUGCUCCAUAGCUCCCACUACCCUGCUGCCUGCAUGCCUCCUCCUGCACCCCCUGAGCCCUAGUGUUGUCCUAAAGAGAUCUUCCAGGCCUUGCAGUCGACGUGUGAGGAGGACAUCUUCCUUCUUUCAGCAGCCCAAAGAAGUCAGUUUGCAACCUUCCCUUGCACUUGGAACACGGGACAAGCUGUGCUGUCUGUGUGAGGACACAAGAGCUGGUACAAAUUGCUGCUGAGACAAGAACUGCUGCACUGCAGCACAUCAGUGAGUCCCACAGCCUACUGCCUGAGUUACUCCCUGACACCUCAUUUUUGGGUAACAGAAGAGGGUGAGGUGGAGGGUACUCUCCUCCUUUCACUUCUUUUCUCUUGGGUAAUACUCUCAGUUGUCUGGGUAUUCUCAUCCCAAAAUCUCCUCCUUGCCUGCUUGCCCCACCAAGGCAGCCUCCCUCCUGGUGUCCCUGGUGCACUCCACUGCUGCUGACCCCCAGCCUCUCUGUCCCUCUGCCCCCCUACAGCCCAUGGGGUGGGCAGGACAGGACACAGGAGAGGGCGCAGCUCCGGAGAAGGGCACCCUGCUGGCUCUGUGAUGGCUUCAUAAUGUAUUCCAGAUUCCACCCAUUCCCAUCCCUGUCACGUCCUAUCAUUUCCCUGGUUAUUUUUGAUUGCUGCUGAGCACAGAUCUUCGUGUGCAUAUUUCUGUCAGUAGAUCAGUCAUUUCAUUCUUAUGUUCCUACACAAGUCUUGGAUGCCUCAUCGGUGCUCAGUGACUUAUUGCUCUUCAGCAUGUCAAUUUAUUCCAGCAUCUUCUUCUGAUAUCCCCAUUGCUCAUUUUAAAACCUAAAUGAGCUGAUCCAGAGUAGCUUUCUACCCCCACCUUCUAUGGGCCUGAACAAUCCAAAGAAACCCCUCAGCUUCCCAUUCCUACUUUUUGCCAUCACUCUAUGUUUCCCUCCCAGGAUUCUGCCUACAUCAGAUUUUAUGUAUUCUUAUGUCUUUUCAUUGCUUAUUUUUGUACCUUUUUAUUUUAUAACAUUUUUUGCCGUUUGCUCUGAUGAAAUCCCAUCGUAAUUCCCUUGUUAGGUAGCCCCUGGCAUGCUUUAUUUGUCUCUAUUGCCUGUACUAAGGCUGGAUUUCCUUUUUCUGAAGUGCCUCGUUUAGCUCAAAUACGCAACAAAACCCUGUCAUUUCAGCAAAUGUUGUUGAUUUUCUUUCCCACAUGGGCAUUUCUGCUUUUUCUCUUAACUUGUGCAGCCUUCAGAGCCUCAUUGAUGGGCACAUCCACAGCUUCCAUAUCAAAGCUAUGGCCUGAAAUGAAUUUGCCUUUAGGGCCCUUUAAAUGAACUUUCCUCAUUUAUUUAAUUUGAAGUUCCCACUUUCUAGCACUGAGCAGCCUCCAGCAGUUCUGGAGGCAGUUUUCUCCCCAAUGACUCUGGCUAAUAGCGUAGUGAUCACUGGAAGUUAAUGGCUCAUCACUGACAGCUUCUUGAGGUAAAACCUCUGUGCCACUUUGCGGCAGAAAUGACAAAAUAUCUGUUAAAAAAGCCCAAAUAAACAACCCAGGCAGUAGCCAUAACUCUGUAUGUUGCUGUCUGGUUCAUAUCAGUCAUCUCUGCCUGAACUAGAACCCAAACCCUUCAUACAGUAGUUGCUGUUAUUGCGGGGGAAAUGUUUUAUUAACAGACAUUACAGUCAAUUUUGAGAUACACAGAAGCUUAAUUUAGAAUUCAAAACUGUUUUGUCAGAUGGGUUAUGGAUUCCUUGCCUCCAAAAUAGACAUUAAAAUGGGGCUUGAAGCAGCAGACAUUCCCCCAAAUACUGCAAAUUCUCCAACUUUUCAAACCGGUGUAAACUUGAAAGCACAGCUAUACUUCUGGGCUGAAAUGUGUGUCUUAAAAGCAUCCCUUGCAAAAGUAUCCUCUGUGUUGUGUGGUGAGAAACUAUUCCCUAAAACAUGUCUCUCUGGGCUGUCCCUCGGAAUGCCUGGAUGCUGCAGGCCUUCUGCUGAGGACCUGCAGGCACGAUGCACCUCUGAUGCAUCCCCAGCUCGGGUGUAGCCUGGGUUGGCAUGUUUGGAGCGCCGCAUCCUGCCCAGGAUGCAUCGACCAAAGCAACUUCUCCCCACCGAGGGUUCUGCACACUCGCUCAUUUAUAAAUAACUCCAUCCCUGUGUCCCCACCGAGGGGACACCGCUCCUGCUGCCCUCAGCCCACAAACAGCCCCCGGCUAGGGCGGGCAGGCUGUGGCUUCAUCGGGACCGGCGCACGCAGCUCCCUGCCAGCCCCAGCCCGGAGACAGCAUUCCUCAGCCGGUAAGCCUCUGGCCCGAUGAAAAGCUCCAAUUCAGCUCCUGCACGGCGAGUACCUGACACCUUCCCCAGCACAAAGAGGGCUUUCUGCCGCACAGCCCGGCCGCGGCCGGGAAGCAGUGGCACAGCAGCUGCCUCUCGCCCAGAGGGGUCACCGAGCCACAUCCUGCACACACCCUGAACAAAACUCACUUGUCUUGGGGGGGCGGAGGAGAACAUAGCUCUGGGCAGGUGGCUGCCAGCCGGGCUUGUGGCUCCUGGUCUGCCAGACUUCUGGAUAGGAUGGUUCUCUCAAGUCUGCAAGCCUUGCUGAGGUCAGUGCAAUGCAGAGGCUUGAACUGUGAAGGUUUCAGGAUUGGCUCUGCAUCUCUGAGAGGCUCCUGUCUCUGAGCUGCUGACCUGGCCAGGCUCGCUGGGGUGACUGGUGUUCUCCCAUCUCUGUGCUCCUCCACAGCAAGCCCUGAGCUGGGAUGGAGCAGAUGGUCACACUAAGGUCACACUUGUAGGUCAGACAGGUUGGGCUGGGAGGUGAGUGGUAGUCUCAGCACUGAAACUGGGUUUGUGAGUGAUGGAGGAUAACUCAUUUUGGGAGGUAUCCACUGAAGAAGCACUGGAGAGUCUAUUAGUCUUCACACUAUCUUUGCUCUUUCCUUUCCCAGGAAAGAUCAAGUUGGAAGCAAUCACAGAAUUUCCCUCAUCCAGCAGUGCCUGAAGGCAAGCUGCAGUGUAUACCACAGACCCCAUAGGAUGCAAGUUACUCAGCUCAGAGACACUACAACAUUUCUGCUUUUCAGCUAGGGACUGUCAAAUGUGACGGGAGCAAUCCACCUCGGAGAAGAGGACUUUCAUGGGCAGGAGAAGAGGAUUUCCAUUUCAGGGCUUCCGUGUCUCAGCUGAGACUCAAAGCCUCCAGACUGCAGCCAGGGCCUCCCUGCCCAAUCUCUGCCUGUGCCUUGGAGACUGCCUUGUUCAUCAAUCGUCUCUGGUCCAAUGCUCUCAGUCUGGGAUAUUGGGAAGCUGCCCUGGCCCCCUCUCCAGCUUCCCUGUCCACCACAGGAGUAUUCUAGCCUUGCAAAUCCAUCUCUUGAUCCAGAUGCCUAAACCAAGACUGUGCAGUGCAGAGCAUUGCAGCAAACUGCCUCCUUCACCAUGAUCCUGUGAAACUCAGUGUGCAUGCUGGCUUCAGCUGGUGUCACAGGAUCAUGGAAUCAUUCAGGCUGGAAAAGCCCUGCACCAGUUCCAACCAUUAACCCAGCAUCAACAGGUCCAC